GAAAAUUUUGAAUUCCGCUAUCAUUUUUCAUACCAAAUUUUAUUUUUUAUCAUACUGACAAGCAAUCAAAUCGUACCGAUAUCCAAAAAAAUCAAAAUAAUGAGACGGUUCAAAAAAUCUAGUUUUGGUUAUAUAAAAUAAAAUAAGCGAACAAUUGAUAUGGUAUACAUUUUAUAUAAUAAUCGUGCGAAUUGGAUCAUUGAUACUAAACAAUGCUAUAGAUCUUUGUGGUGUUCGGACCAACUUCCGCUCCAUCAAUAAUAGGUAUCAUCAGUAAGUCAGUACCUCCGUCCAUCAAAAUUAGAAUAGAAGGAAAGAAAUCACCUAAUAUUUUGUACUUGCUAGAAUUUAAACAUGAAACUUCAUAAUGCUUAGCUCAAUUCAUUAACCACCGGAUCAUAUUAGUGGAAAAUGAAUCAAUUAAACACGCCGUUUACGUCGAACCUUAAAGAACUCAAGUGUUCAAUGACUGAACGGAAGUAAAUACAUUUUCAUUUGUAGGCUAUCGACAUGUGAGAGAGGAAGCAAAUUGCAUCUGAAACUUUAAAAAAUCUGCUGAUUGAUUGAGGAUUUGGGGGAGCCUAUAAGCAGUUUUUAGAAUGUAUA
rnacentral:lncRNA from 1 species